rnacentral:rRNA from 1 species
GACGUAGGGCGCGAGCGUUGUCCGGAUUUAUUGGCGUAAAGAGCUCGUAGGCGGCUUGUCGCGUCGACUGUGAAAAUCCAGGGCUCAACCCUGGACCUGCAUUCGAUACGGGCAGACUAGAGUUCGGUAGGGGAGACUGGAAUUCCUGGUGUAGCGGUGAAAUGCGCAGAUAUCAGGAGGAACACCGGUGGCGAAGGCGGGUCUCUGGGCCGAAACUGACGCUGAGGAGCGAAAGCGUGGGGAGCAAACAGG